AGUUUGAUCAUGGCUCAGAUUGAACGCUGGCGGGAUGCUUUACACAUGCAAGUCGAACGGCAGCACGGACUUCGGUCUGAUGGCGAGUGGCGAACGGGUGAGUAAUGUAUCGAACGUGCCUAUUGGCGGGGAUAACUACGCGAAAGCGUAGCUAAUACCACAUACGCCCUUCGAGGAAAGCAGGGGACCUUCGAACUCACUGAAACCGAUAUCGGAUUGGCUAGUUGGUGGGGUAACGGCUCACCAAGGCGACGAUCCGUAGCUGGUUUGAGAGGACGACCAGCCACACUGGGACUGAGACCUGGCAGACUCCUACGGGAGGCAGCAGUGGGGAAUUUGGACAAUGGGGAAACCUUCCUGAUCCAGCCAUCCCGCGUGUGCGAUGAAGGCCUUCGGGUUGUAAGCACUUUUGGCAGGAAAAACGGCACGGGAUAUUGCCCGUGCAACUGACGGUACCUGCAGAAUAAGCACCAUUUAACUACGUGCCAGCAGCGCGGUAAUACGUAGGGUGCAAGCGUUAAUCGGAAUUACUGGGCGUAAAGCGUGCGCAGGCGGUUCGGAAAAGAAAGAUGUGAAAUCCGAACCAACUGGAACUGCAUUUUUAACUACCGAGCUAGAGUGUGUCCAGAGGGAGGGUGGAAUUCCGCGUGUAGCAGUGAAAUGCGUAAAGAUAUGCGGAGGAACACCGAUGGCGAAGGCAGCCUCCUGGGAUAACACUGACGCUCAUGCGCGAAAGCGUGGGGAGCGAACGGGAUUAGAUACCCUGGUAGUCCACGCCUAAACGAUGUCAACUGGCUGUUGAGGCCUUCGGGCCUUGGUAGCGCAGCUAACGCGUGAAGUUGACCGCCUGGGAGUACGGUCGCAAGAUUAAAACUCAAGGAAUUGACGGGGACCUGCACAAGCGGUGGAUGAUGUGGAUUAAUUCGAUGCAACGCGAAAAACCUUACCUACCCUUGACAUGUCUGGAAUCCCGAAGUUUGGGAGUGCUCGCAAGAGGAACCGGAACACAGGUGCUGCAUGGCUGUCGUCAGCUCGUGUCGUGAGAUGUUGGGUUAAGUCCCGCAACGAGCGCAACCCUUGUCAUUAGUUGCUACGAAAGGGCACUCUAGCUGGAACUGCCGGUGACAAACCGAGGAGGAAGGUGGGGAUGACGUCCAAGUCCUCAUGGCCCUUAUGGGUGGGGCUUCACACGUCAUACAAUGGUCAGGACAGAGGGUCGCCAACCCACGAGGCAAUCCCCAGAAACCCGAUCGUAGUCGGAUCGCAGUCUGCAACUCGACUGCGUGAAGUCGGAAUCGCUGAUAAUCGCGGAUCAGCAUGUCGCGGUGAAUACGUUCCCGGGUCUUGUGCACCGCCCGUCACACCAUGGGAGUGGGUUUACCAAGUAGUUAGCCUAACCAUCAGGAGGGCGAUUACCACCACGGUAGGAUUCAUGACUGGGGUGAAGUCGUAACAAGGUAA
rnacentral:rRNA from 1 species